UUAUUGCGGAACACCCACAAAGAGACAUAAGUAAUAUCUAUUUAUAUACAUAAAAUUGCUUUACAAAGUAAGAGGAGUCAAGGAACAUUAUUUGCAUACUAAUUUAUUGUUUGAAUAUCUGAAAUGAGCUCAGAAGCGUAUUGUAUUAAAUAUCGUGGAUUAAUAUUAACUACAGUGUAGGAACAUUUAAGGGACUUUCAUCAUAGCUGUAAUUAAUGGUUUAAAUGUCCCCUGGCUUAUUUAAAUACAUUAUUUUGAGUAUGCUAUUUGGUUUUGGAUAUGAUGAUUGUGAAAAUACUAAAUAUUUAUCUAAUUGCCGUCAUUUCAUAAGUUUCUAGUCCUAAGAUUGUACUUUUUUGGAGCUCAUAGCAGAGCCGACAGUUAUUUUCCAUUUCUCUGAGGAUCCCAGGCAGCAAACCUGAAAUUCCAGAUCUGCAAAUGGAGAGGAAAAUGCUGAUUGUUUUAGAACUUUUGGUUCUGUUAAGUUUGACAAUUGCUGAAGGAGAAUGUCCUUAUAAGGGUCUGAAAAGACAGUUCGCUGAUAAAGGGAAAGAUUAUGCUGAUGUGAACCCAAAUAUUUCAGGAGCCUAUGACUUUAAUCCAAAACUUCCAAUAAAAGUAUACGGAGAAUCCUAUGAACAAUAUAUUCAUUACAAGAUAGGAAAUGGCACCAGAUGUUCAUUUGCUGUAUUUG